AUACGUAGGGGGCAAGCGUUAUCCGGAAUUAUUGGGCGUAAAGGGUGCGUAGGCUGCCUUAUGGGUCAGAGGUUAAAGGCUACGGCUUAACCGUAGCAUGCCUUUGAAACUAUAGGGCUUGAGUGCAGGAGAGGAGAGUGGAAUUCCUAGUGUAGCGGUGAAAUGCGUAGAUAUUAGGAGGAAUACCAGUGGCGAAGGCGACUCUCUGGACUGCAACUGACGCUAAGGCACGAAAGCGUGGGUAGCGAACAGGAUUAGAUACCCUGGUAGUCCACGCCAUAAACGAUGAGUGCUAGGUGUUGGGGGUCAAACCUCGGUGCCGCAGUUAACGCAUUAAGCACUCCGCCUGGGGAGUACGUUCGCAAGAAUAAA
rnacentral:rRNA from 1 species